AAUGAGCGUCAAGAUUUCAAAAGAAUAAGUAGCAGACGCCAAAUUGGCGGUUCAUAACGUUUUUCUACCUCGAAGUUAGAAUAAUGUAAUUAGUUCUUAUCCUCUUAUUUAAAAAAGAAAAAUAAAAAAUAAAAAGGUUUGUCUCAUUUGUAUCUACAAACUUUCUUUCAGUUUUUUGUGCUAUUCUUUCUAACUACGGAGAUAUUUGAAUACCUUUACUGGCAAAGUUUUGAGUAGGUGGCUUAUCGGAAGCUUGGUACAAAGAAUAUAUAUAAACCGAUUAAUCUAGUUUCAUUGAAUAAUUCGUUAUAGACUAGUAUCAUUUAUUCGAUAUAGCAUAAAGCUCAAGGUACUUAGUAAGUACGAUCGAUAAACUUUAUACAUGACUAAAUUAUGAUUCACAUUGCGCCCAAACUGUUACGCUCUCUUUUUAAAUUUAGAGAUUAGCCUGUUAUUUAUUUUUAAAGCUGAACGGUAAAGAUAAAAUAACUGGAAUUAUUUCAUAUCAAUCUUGUGAUAGAUAUAGAAAAUAGUUAUAGGUGCUAACUUAUUGACCAGGAAUAUGCUUAUACUGCGUUUUUUACCGCAAUACCGGAAAUUUGUUAAAGUCAAAUUAUAAACAUAUUUAGCGGUAAGUCAUACUAAAAGCGUAUUCAAUUAAAUUGUAAAACGGUCUGAGAAUGCCAUAUCCUUUAUCGGCCCGAACCCUUAGGCUAUUUGCACGGGGUCAGGGUAGGAAGGCAUGACAGCGAAAUGUCAUAAAUCCCACAUUCUCACGAAUCCUAAGAAUGUUCGUAUGAUUUUUAUCCUCCGGGAGGAUUUUUCAGGGUGUAAAUUGAUAAGGAUCGCAGACGAGAUUUUUUUGAAGGAAAAAGAAUACAUUCAAUAGGUUGACACCAAAUUAAUAAACAUGGUAGUUGAAUCUCUUUGAUAUACGAGUAAGAUUUGGGAUAACAGCCGACCAGUAUGUCAUUCCUUCGGCCGAAAAACUUCGGGAAAUAAUAAAACUGCCACUGUCACCAGUAUUGUUGAAUAAAUAGCAGAAAAAACUUGUUGAUAGACUCUGUCACUUGCACCCCUCUUACAUAAACAAGGGUUUUUUAAGUGCAAAGCCGAUAAGGAUCUGUCAUCAAGGUAUUUUAGAAGAAAAUACUAGCUUAUGGGCUCUCCAUAAGGCGAUGGGAGACUUGGGGCUUUGCAAAGUUUACAAAUUUCAAGUUUCGCAAACUUUCUGAGUCUUUGAAGGAAGCAUACCAUACGGAAACCGGCACUUGAACAGAUAAAUGUUCGAUAACGUUGAACUUUCUCUGACUGUUUGACUAAAACUUUUUAAAUUUAAAUAAAACCCCAACAAAUAUGUUAUAUAAUCAAUCCCUCUCAUCCUUUUUGCCCAUACAGAUAUGGAUGAACAGCUGUGUUUAUUAGACUUACCCGUCGAAAUUCUUAUACGGAUUUUAAAAGGCAUGCAGAUGCCCGAUAUACUCAAUUUAGCUAAGGUUCAUCCUGUAUUUAGCGAUUUAGUUUUAUCAAAUAAGUCUGUUUGGUUAAACGCGAGCUUCAAUGGUGUCUGGCCCAACGAUAACAAUAAAGAAGCAUUUCAUAGAGCUUCCGUAUGCGGCAAUAUUUCGGCAACGAUCAAACUAAGUCUGGCCUAUUUAUACAACGAAGGUUUGGCUUUGGAUAUGUCAUCCGAUUACGCUGUCAACUAUCUCGGACGGAAAGUGGCAACUUUAUUGUACGAAGCCGAAAAGUUAACACCCGAAGUAGCACCCUUUACGUGGAUUUUCAUAAGGCCUCCAUGGAAUGUACACAAAAGUAGAUGCUGCAAGGCAGAAGUUUACUAUGCAAUGUGUGAAAAGUAUUCUGGUAAGGACAUCCUAGCUGACAUCAAGACCUGUCUGGCAAGAGUAGAAGAUCAUGUAUCACCUUCUGGUGAAACCCCUGUGGAAUUAUUUAAGGAAGCCGCCGAAUCUGGUGAGACUUAUGCUCAGUACAGAUUGUGGCAAAUCAAGUAUGGUCGACUUUUUGAUUCAAAAAAUACAACAAAGGAUGCCGGUUUAGAGUUGGAGGCAAUUCGCAGCUUGAGAUCUCUUGGAUCUCAAUCCUUGAAGAGUCGAAAAAAUCACGAGGCUUGUUUAAAGUUAAUGGAGAUAUAUGCAAGAAAAAAAUUUGGUGGUGUUAAUGAAAAUGAUGCACUCGCGUUUUGCAAGAAAAAGAUAACUGAUUUUAAUAAGAUAAGUUUUCCCGCUACAAAAAGAAAUAUGCAUAUAACACAGAGUAUGAGAUAUAUACUCGUAGACUGGCUAGUAGAGUUAACAAGCAUAAAAUGUCUGUCUUCCUCAAUUCUUCAUCAAACUGUUGCUCUGGUCGAUAAAGUUCUUAGUUCGAGAUAUAUUUCGAGAAGUCGAUUGCAAUUAGUAGGGAUAGCAAGUAUGCUUCUCGUAUGUCGUUAUGAAAAUUCAAACAUACUAACCAUUCGAGAGGCUGCAUGGUUAACCGAUAAUACUUAUAAAUACGGAGACGUUGUUAGAAUGAUUGGAGAAAUUACAGCACUUACUCAAGGUCGUCUUCAGUUACCAACCGCAUAUGAUUUUAUCGAAGCUCUCGGUUACGUAGCCGAAUUAAAUUUUACUGGUGUCUAUAUGCUUUAUUAUAUUUUGGAAGUUAGUCUGCAUUAUUUCGAAUUUAUAAGAGAUUUUGGUCCUUCAACUGUUGCAUGCGCAGCAUGUUUGCUGGUUCUUCUCACUCUAAAUAAAGGCACAACAAGUGCCGAAAAUCUCUGGACGCCUUUACUCAUAAAAUAUACCGGUUUCACGUUGAAAGACUUGAAAGAGUGUGCCCUUAGACUACAUUUGUUCUAUACUGAUGUAAAGCCGGUAUUAGAUCAUCGAAGGCAACCAUUAACUCAAGUUCGAGAACGCUAUUCCCGAGAUGAAUUCGGCAGAGUUAGCGAAUUUGAAACGUUAACUCAUCAGCAAUUAUGCAGCGUACUCUCUGUGGCUAGUCAGAACACUAAGAAAGAAACCGUUCAAACCUUCAACAAACAGUUAAUUAUGUCUCCGACGAGAGGAGGUACUGGAAAUUUUCCAAUGGAAGCAGAACGUCACUUAGCAGCAACACCAACAAUGGAAGAGUCGGAAGAGAGGUAUGAAAAGAAAAGGAAUCAUCCAAAUGACGAUUCGAUUACAAAAAAGAUGAAAGUUUAAAAAAUGAUUUUAUUUUUUUUACCAAAGAGGUUGCAUUUAGGAAUGUUAUUAAAAAACUUGAAGUAACUGUGCUGUUUUCCUUUUUACAGUUUAUAUUUCUUAUGUACAAAAAAUUUUAAUACAUUUACAUUUAUAAGAAAAAUUAGCUAAUAUAACUAUAUCACUUUUGAAUAGCUAAAUUUUAAAACAUGUUAUUUUUUAACCAAUAAAAGUAUUUUUUUCAAAGAUUUUAAAUUUCAUUUUCUUUAUUUUG
rnacentral:misc_RNA from 1 species